rnacentral:rRNA from 1 species
UACGAGGGUCCUAGCGUUGUUCGGAAUCAUUGGGCGUAAAGGGUGUGUAGGUGGCUAUGUAAGUCAGGUGUGAAAGCCCCGGGCUCAACCCGGGAAGUGCAUCUGAUACUGCGUAGCUUGAGUACCGAAGAGGAUAGUGGAAUUCCUGGUGUAGCGGUGAAAUGCGCAGAUAUCAGGAGGAACACCGGUGGCGAAGGCGGGUCUCUGGGCCAAAUGAACGCGUGAGGAGCGAAAGCGUGGGGAGCAAACAGG